CAAGGAAUAGUUUAUGUAGAAUCUCAGCUUUGGGUGUUGAAGGUGGAGUAUGGUGCUUCUUCCUUGA
rnacentral:tRNA from 1 species